GGAUUGUGGCUCAGUGGUAGAGCACUUGCCUCGCAUGUGUAAGGCCCUGGGUUUGAUUCUCAGCACCA
rnacentral:tRNA from 1 species